GUAAAACACGAAGCUCAAGGUUCCAUGCGAGACUGAAGCUACAGAGUCAGCUGUUACGAUGUAUAGGAAUGUCUUGAAAACAGAUGUCAAACAAUCAUCGAUGUAAGAUCUUAAGUCUGUACCACCUCGGGCUCAACAAACCAAAAAGGAUGGGCUCUAUUCCUUGCACUGUGCAGAUAACCGAAUUGUCAACAACAGUCUUCAACAGCAAUGCAUUGGAAACUUGUUCCUGACCACCUGUACCCAUAGACGUGGUGUGUCUACUGUGAAGGACCUGAUUUCAAGUCAUGACUCUCUAUCUACUUCAUAACCACAAGACAGACACUAGUUAUUGAUAGACUUGUAAUCUCAUGUCAUUGCCAAGAAUAUAUUGUACAAUCUGUGUGUCAUACAUGAUCAAAUACUACCACUCUGGAGGAAAAACCAAUUAAACGUAGGCUUGACUUAUGUACAUAAGUAUCUACAUUGAAUUGUAUGAAAAGAAAAUACAUGGUGUUGAAGACUUUUAUUUUAUUUUUGAUACUUAAUCUGUAUUUGUAUAUCAUAAGAUAUUAAAAUCAACAAGAGCAAAGCAGCUUUCAUAAUCUGCCCUGGAAUGGAUUGCUCUGGUAAUUCGUUAAUCCAGUGUCACU